GGAGCAACUCCUCAAAUCCGCCCUCCACAGACUCUCAACCCUCUGCAAACGCUGCUCCGGGGUCAACCUCCCCGUCCUAAUCGACGCCGAGUACACUUCGGUCCAGCCCGCGAUCGACUACUUCACGUACGCGGCAAUGUCGGAGUUCAACAAGGGAGAUUCCCCGAUCGUGUACGGUACUAUUCAGUGCUACUUGCGCGACGCGAAGGAGCGAAUGGUGCAGGCUGUGGAGGCCGCGGACAGGGAGGGGUUCUUGAUCGGGCUCAAGCUGGUGAGAGGGGCGUAUUUGACGAGGGAGACGGAGCUGGCGAACUCGUUGGGCGUCGCCUCGCCGAUUCACCCGUCGAUUCAGGAGACCCACGCCUGUUACGAUGAUUGCGCUUCGUUUAUGCUCGAGAGGAUCGUCAAGGGGUCUGCGUCGCUGGUGCUGGCCACUCACAAUCUUGAGUCGGGUAUAAAAUCAAUCCCCCUCCAUUGAAUGUUUUAAUGAAAUAGUUUUAUAUUCGGGAGAUUUAAUUAGUCGGCGUGCUGCUUAUUUUAAUAUUACUUCUGUUCCCGAACCUAGAUCUACGGGUAGAUCGAGUUCAUUGUGAUCGUGUCGGCAAAUUAAACUAAUGAACGAUGUUGACCUGUGAUUACAGGAAAGUCCGCAAAGGCGGAGGAGCUGGGUGUAGGGAAAGUGAGCACACAGCCUCCAGUUCUCUCAGCUGAUGGGAUGGCCGACGGGCUGUCCUGGGGCUCAGGGAACGCUGGCUUCCAAGUCAGCGCAAGUACCUGCCUUAUGGCCCUGUUGACCAAGUCUUCCCUUAUCUUCUUCGACGAGCGGAGGAGAAUAAGGGCAUGCUCUCUGCCUCCACCCUCGACCGCGACAUCCUCAGGAAGGAGAUAAUGAGGAGGAUGAACGCUGGUGUUCUUGGAAAGAUUUAGGGGCAUGGACGACGUUGUACAUAAACAUAUGUUUACUUGUAGAUGUCCAUGCAUAUGUACUCAGUAGGCCCAAAAGAGAAGUCAGAACAAAGAAAAAUGUCGCAUUUCUUCCGUCUCUUCUCCUUAGGGCGUCUAUAGAUUAGUCCCAUCUCUCGGUUGUUCUGUUUUUUUUUUAAUUAAUUCAAUGAGAAUAAAUAAUCAUGUGAUGAUGACUAAGAUUUGAGCCAGCUUGCUGUGAAGAUAUGUUAUUUUAUUGCUC